AUAUACCUUCGGGGAUGGGUGCAAUUCCCUACCGGCGGUGGGGCUUUUAUUAAGCCGAGCCCGCGAGCCUGCAAAGGUUGAUCCGGUCAGAUGCCGGAGCCGACAGUCACAGUCUGGAUGGGAGAAGGUUUUC
rnacentral:ncRNA from 2 species